rnacentral:piRNA from 1 species
GGACUCAGACUAGAGUGUAGGUGC